GAUGAACGCUGGCGGCGUGCCUAAUACAUGCAAGUCGAGCGAACGGACGAGAAGCUUGCUUCUCUGAUGUUAGCGGCGGACGGGUGAGUAACACGUGGAUAACCUACCUAUAAGACUGGGAUAACUUCGGGAAACCGGAGCUAAUACCGGAUGAUAUUUUGAACCGCAUGGUUCAAAAGUGAAAGACGGUCUUGCUGUCACUUAUAGAUGGAUCCGCGCUGCAUUAGCUAGUUGGUAAGGUAACGGCUUACCAAGGCAACGAUGCAUAGCCGACCUGAGAGGGUGAUCGGCCACACUGGAACUGAGACACGGUCCAGACUCCUACGGGAGGCAGCAGUAGGGAAUCUUCCGCAAUGGGCGAAAGCCUGACGGAGCAACGCCGCGUGAGUGACGAAGGUCUUCGGAUCGUAAAACUCUGUCAUUAGGGAAGAACAUAUGUGUAAGUAGCUGUGCACAUCUUGACGGUACCUAAUCAGAAAGCCACGGCUAACUACGUG
rnacentral:rRNA from 1 species